UACAGAGGUGGCAAGCGUUGUUCGGAAUUACUGGGCGUAAAGAGCGCGCAGGCGGUCGUUCAAGUCGCGUGUGAAAGCCCCCCGGCUCAACUGGGGAGGGUCACGCGAUACUGAUCGACUCGAAGGCAGGAGAGGGAAGUGGAAUUCCCGGUGUAGUGGUGAAAUGCGUAGAUAUCGGGAGGAACACCAGUGGCGAAGGCGACUUCCUGGCCUGUUCUUGACGCUGAGGCGCGAAAGCUAGGGGAGCAAACGGG
rnacentral:rRNA from 1 species